AAGCAUAUCAAUAAGCGGAGGAAAAGAAACCAACAGGGAUUGCCCCAGUAACGGCGAGUGAAGCGGCAACAGCUCAAAUUUGAAAUCUGGCCCCCCGGCCCGAGUUGUAAUUUGCAGAGGAUGCUUUUGGUGAGGCACCCACCGAGUCCCCUGGAAUGGGGCGCCACAGAGGGUGAGAGCCCCGUAUGGUGGGAAGCCGAGCCUCUGUAAAGCUCCUUCGACGAGUCGAGUAGUUUGGGAAUGCUGCUCUAAAUGGGAGGUAAAUUUCUUCUAAAGCUAAAUACCGGCCAGAGACCGAUAGCGCACAAGUAGAGUGAUCGAAAGAUGAAAAGCACUUUGAAAAGAGGGUUAAAAAGUACGUGAAAUUGUUGAAAGGGAAGCGCUUGUGACCAGACUUGCGCCGGGCGGAUCAUCCAGCGUUCUCGCUGGUGCACUCCGCCCGGCUCAGGCCAGCAUCGGUUUUCGCCGGGGGACAAAGGCUUCGGGAACGUAGCUCCUCUCGGGGAGUGUUAUAGCCCGUCGCAUAAUACCCCGGCGGGGACCGAGGACCGCGCUUCGGCAAGGAUGCUGGCGUAAUGGUCAUCAGCGACCCGUCUUGAAACACGGACCGAGGAGUCAAGCAUUGGUGCGAGUGUUUGGGUGUAAAACCCGCACGCGUAAUGAAAGUGAACGUAGGUGAGAGCUUCGGCGCAUCAUCGACCGAUCCUGAUGUUUUCGGAAGGAUUUGAGUAGGAGCAUCAACGCUUGGACCCGAAAGAUGGUGAACUAUACUUGAAUAGGGUGAAGCCAGAGGAAACUCUGGUGGAGGCUCGCAGCGGUUCUGACGUGCAAAUCGAUCGUCAAAUUUGAGUAUAGGGGCGAAAGACUAAUCGAACCAUCUAGUAGCUGGUUUCAGCCGAAG
rnacentral:rRNA from 1 species